GAUGAACGCUGGCGGCGUGCCUAAUACAUGCAAGUCGAGCGAACAGACGAGGAGCUUGCUCCUCUGACGUUAGCGGCGGACGGGUGAGUAACACGUGGAUAACCUACCUAUAAGACUGGGAUAACUUCGGGAAACCGGAGCUAAUACCGGAUAAUAUAUUGAACCGCAUGGUUCAAUAGUGAAAGACGGUUUUGCUGUCACUUAUAGAUGGAUCCGCGCCGCAUUAGCUAGUUGGUAAGGUAACGGAUUACCAAGGCAACGAUGCGUAGCCGACCUGAGAGGGUGAUCUGCCACACUUGAACUAAUACACGGUCCAGACUCCUACGGGAGGCAGCAGUAGGGAAUCUUCCGCAAUGGCCUAAAGCCUGACGUAGCAACGCCGCGUGAUUGAUGAAGUUCUUCGGAUCGUAAAACUCUGUUAUUAGGGAAGCCCAAAUGUGUAAGUAACUAUGCACGUCUUGACGGUACCUAAUCAGAAAGCCACGGCUAACUACGUG
rnacentral:rRNA from 1 species